rnacentral:rRNA from 1 species
CCUACGGGGGGCUGCAGUGGGGAAUAUUGGACAAUGGGGGGAACCCUGAUCCAGCCAUGCCGCGUGUGUGAAGAAGGCCCUCGGGUUGUAAAGCACUUUCAGUGAGGAAGAACGCCUGGUGGUUAAUACCCAUCAGGAAAGACAUCACUCACAGAAGAAGCACCGGCUAACUCCGUGCCAGCAGCCGCGGUAAUACGGAGGGUGCGAGCGUUAAUCGGAAUUACUGGGCGUAAAGCGCGCGUAGGUGGCUUGAUAAGCCGGUUGUGAAAGCCCCGGGCUCAACCUGGGAACGGCAUCCGGAACUGUCAAGCUAGAGGGCAGGAGAGGAAGGUAGAAUUCCCGGUGUAGCGGUGAAAUGCGUAGAGAUCGGGAGGAAUACCAGUGGCGAAGGCGGCCUUCUGGACUGACACUGACACUGAGGUGCGAAAGCGUGGGUAGCAAACAGGAUUAGAUACCCCAGUAGUC